rnacentral:tRNA from 1 species
UAGCUCAGUGGUAGAGUGUGUACCUAGCAUGCACAAGGUCCUGGGUUCAAUCCCCAG